AGUUAAACAGUACGUGAAAUUGUUGAAAGGGAAACGAUUGAAGUCAGUCGUGCUGGCGCGAAAUCAACCCUCUCGUCGAGAGGACACAUGGCGUGGCGAGCCUCAAAACCGUCACGAAGCGUGAACUCUUGGCGAAAAGGAGCACUUUCGUGUCCGCUGGUUAACAUCAAUUUCGAACGUCAUAAAAAGGCUGGAGGGAUGUGGCUCCUUCGGGAGUGUUAUAACCUUUAGCGGAAUGUGGUGGUCGGGAUUGAGGAUUGCAACGAAUACCUUUAGGGCUGUUCCACCUGGCCUCUCUUUGGUAUCCUGGUGACGACAGCUUGCUGACGUUGUUAGGAUUCGCCAUUGAACAGGCUAGAGUGUGAGCAAAUUCGUUAAGGAUGUUAACGUAAUGGCUUUAAA
rnacentral:misc_RNA from 1 species